rnacentral:misc_RNA from 1 species
AACGCACAUUGCGCCUCCAGGUAUUCCGGGGGGCAUGCCUGUUCGAGCGUCAUUACAACCCUCAAGCUCUGCUUGGUGUUGAGCCCGCCCCGCUUACCCGGGGCUCGCUUCAAAAUCAGUGGCGGCCGCCGUCCGACCUUCUGCGCAGUAAUGCUCGUCGCUGGUAGGGAAGGGCAGCAAGGGCCGUCAUCCAACCCCCACACACACAAGGUUGACCUCGGAUCAGGUAGGGAUACCCGCUGAACUUAA